rnacentral:rRNA from 1 species
GAUGAACGCUGGCGGCGUGCCUAAUACAUGCAAGUCGAGCGAACAGACGAGGAGCUUGCUCCUCUGACGUUAGCGGCGGACGGGUGAGUAACACGUGGAUAACCUACCUAUAAGACUGGGAUAACUUCGGGAAACCGGAGCUAAUACCGGAUAAUAUAUUGAACCGCAUGGUUCAAUAGUGAAAGACGGUUUUGCUGUCACUUAUAGAUGGAUCCGCGCCGCAUUAGCUAGUUGGUAAGGUAACGGCUUACCAAGGCGACGAUGCGUAGCCGACCUGAGAGAGUGAUCGGCCACACUGGAACUGAGACACGGUCCAGACUCCUACGGGAGGCAGCAGUAGGGAAUCUUCCGCAAUGGGCGAAAGCCUGACGGAGCAACGCCGCGUGAGUGAUGAAGGUCUUCGGAUCGUAAAACUCUGUUAUGAGGGAAGAACAAAUGUGUAAGUAACUAUGCACGUCUUGACGGUACCUAAUCAGAAAGCCACGGCUAACUACGUG